rnacentral:rRNA from 1 species
GUGGGGAAUAUUGGACAAUGGGCGCAAGCCUGAUCCAGCCAUGCCGCGUGAGUGAUGAAGGCCUUAGGGUUGUAAAGCUCUUUCGUCAGGGAAGAUAAUGACGGAACCUGAAGAAGAAGCCCCGGCUAACUUCGUGCCAGCAGCCGCGGUAAUACGAAGGGGGCUAGCGUUGCUCGGAAUCACUGGGCGUACAGCGCACGUAGGCGGCUUUCUAAGUCAGGGGUGAAAUCCUGGAGCUCAACUCCAGAACUGCCUUUGAUACUGGAGAGCUUGAGUUCGGGAGAGGUGAGAGGAACUGCGAGUGUAGAGGUGAAAUUCGUAGAUAUUCGCAAGAACACCAGUGGCGAAGGCGACUCACUGGCCCGAUACUGACGCUGAGGUGCGAAAGCGUGGGGAGCAAACAGGAUUAGAUACCCGAGUAGUCC